rnacentral:tRNA from 1 species
GUGGAGGUAGUGUAGUCGGAAACACGUCGGCUUGUGGAGCCGAAAUCAGGGGAUCAUUCCCCCUCCCCCACC